UGGCCCAUCGGGGCAACGGAUACCUGUUUUUGUGGUUUUU
rnacentral:ncRNA from 1 species